rnacentral:rRNA from 1 species
CCCUUAGAUGUUCUGGGCUGCACGCGCGCUACACUGAAGCGUUCAACGAGUAUUCACCUUGCCCGGGAGGGUUGGGUAAUCUUUUGAAAACGCUUCGUGAUGGGGAUAGAUUAUUGCAAUUAUUCAUCUUCAACGAGGAAUUCCUAGUAAACGCAAGUCAUCAGCUUGCAUUGAUUACGUCCCUGCCCUUUGUACACACCGCCCGUCGCACCUACCGAUUGAAUGGUCCGGUGAAAUCUUCGGAUCUGAGAGAUGUCUGAUUAAUUUCGGACGCCUUUUGGAAAAGUUGCUUAAACCUUACCAUUUAGAGGAAGGUGAAGUCGUAACA